AGAGUUUGAUCCUGGCUCAGAGUUAACGCUGGCAGCGUGCAUAACACAUGCAAGUCGAGCGGAACUACUUGAGAUUAUAUCAAAGGUAGUUUAGCGGCAAACGAGUGAGUAACACGUAAGAAUCUGCCCCGAAGUGGAGACAACCUGCCGAAAGGUGGGCUAAUACUCCCAUAUAAUCCUCUGGUGCAUCACCUAGGGAUGAAAGCCGUAAGGCGCUACGGGAGGAUCUUGCGACCUAUCAGCUAGUUGGCGGGGUAACGGCCCACCAAGGCUUUGACGGGUAGCCGGCCUGAAAGGGCGAUCGGCCACGGAGGCACUGAGAAACGGGCCUCACUCCUACGGGAGGCAGCAGUGGGGAAUUUUGGACAAUGGGGGAAACCCUGAUCCAGCAACGCUGCGUGAAGGACGAAGGUCUUCGGAUUGUAAACUUCUUUUGUUCGGGACGAAUACCCGCAAGGGUUUGACGGUACCGGAUGAAUAAGCCACGGCUAACUACGUGCCAGCAGCCGCGGUAAGACGUAGGUGGCGAGCGUUACUCGGAAUCACUAGGCGUAAAGCGCGCGCAGGUGGGUGCUUAAGUCUGCUGUGAAAUCUCCCGGCUUAACUGGGAGGGGUCAGCGGAUACUGGGCGUCUGGAGUCGGGUAGGGGGUGCUGGAAUUCCCGGUAGCGGUGAAAUGCGUAGAUAUCGGGAGGAACACCAAUGGCUAACGCAGGCACCUGGGCCUUGACUGACACUGAGGCGCGAAAGCUAGGGGAGCAAACAGGAUUAGAUACCCUAGUAGUCC
rnacentral:rRNA from 1 species